GCCACCUUAGCUCAGUUGGUAGAGCGAAGCUUUCGUAAAGCUUAGGUCGCGAGUUCAAGUCUCGCAGGUGGCU
rnacentral:tRNA from 2 species